CCAGUAGCUCAAUUCGGCAGAGCACCGGACUCUUAAUCCGUUGGUUGAAGGUUCGAGUCCUUCCUGGCC
rnacentral:tRNA from 1 species